AAACCCCCCCCCCUUCGAAAUCGACCCCAGAUCUCUCACCAAAUCGACCCCAGAUUUCGCUCAGGCCAACCCACCGCCGCCGCUCGGACUGAGAAAUCGGCGACCGCCGCCGCACGUUUCAUCUCGUGAGGCCAACCCCGACUCCCCCUUUCGAUCUCUCUUGACAGGGUUUAAUCGAGACAGAAAGGUGGGGUAAGGGUGUUGGGAUCUACCUUCUGUACUUGACGCCGGCAUUGAGUUUGACAGCGGCGAUCAUCCAUCCUCACCGCAGCCCUCUUUGAUUUAGGUGGUCCAUGGCAAGAAAGAGUUUUUACAUUGUGAAGAGAGGUCGCCGAUGUGGAAUUUAUAAUAAUUGGGAGGACUGUAAAAUGCAAGUUGAUAAAUUCCCAAAUGCCGCAUAUAAAGGGUAUGCAACGUACGAAGAGGCUUUGGUUGAAUGGGAUAAGCACGGCAUCGCUUGUGAUUCAGCAUCCAGUACAGGGCAUGUCCAAACACCUUUUUUGUCCCGACACCUGAUUCUGCAUCGAGCUCAAGAACUACUAUUUCCCCAUCUAUGCUUUUGCAUUAGGUUCAGUGUUUACAAUAUUAGUGUUUGUAAUAUGUAUCGUUGUCGUAUUUAUUUUUUUCUCUCUUGCAAAAAAUAUGUGAUUGUAAGAACUUAUGUAUCGAGUAACUUAUGUGAUUGUGAGAUUGUGAGAACUUAUGUAUCUUGUGAGAACUUAUGUGAUUGUGAGAACUUAUG